rnacentral:sRNA from 1 species
AUUACUCUUGAUGGUGCAUUAUUCUAGUUGCACAAACUUUUAUGAGGGUGGGGCUAAAAAUCCACUAAAAGGCAUACCGAUGAAGUUUCUUGUUUAUGCGCGAAACGCCCAGUUUUGCGUGUGUUCAGGGAGUAAAGAGAAUAGGAAAUGUUAUAACGGCAUAUAAUACUUAUCCUGUUUUCGUUGAGACUAGAUGAUUCUAAAUAUAAUGAUAGCUUUAUCUAGUAUAACCUACAUUGCGUGCCAAGACACAAUAUGUAGUGUAGCCUGUCUUGAGUGAUAAUAUCGGGAUUUAUCAUUUAAAGACAAAAAAUGUAUAUGGCCAUAUAUAUUUUUUAUCUGAUAAUGAAAUUAUUAUUGCAAAAGAGACUAAUAAUUGUAUGAGUGCACACCAAAGGAAAACUUCUAGAAUGUUUAUUCUUUAUAAUGAAUAAGAUUUUUUAAGGAUUAAAGUAUGGACUUAAGUGGUGAUCCAGUUCUCUUAUUAGGCGACUUGAGAGUAUUUCUUUUAAAUGGAAACAGCUAAACAGUAAUGUUUAGUAGGAAAUAGAGAAAUUCUACUGGACCUAAACCAUAGUAUUUACUUAAAAAAUUACCAUCUACUUUUUUAUU